rnacentral:rRNA from 1 species
GACGAACGCUGGCGGCGUGCUUAACACAUGCCAGUCGAACGGAAAGGCCCUGCUUUUGUGGGGUGCUCGAGUGGCGAACGGGUGAGUAACACGUGAGUAACCUGCCCUUGACUUUGGGAUAACUUCAGGAAACUGGGGCUAAUACCGGAUAGGAGCUCCUGCUGCAUGGUGGGGGUUGGAAAGUUUCGGCGGUUGGGGAUGGACUCGCGGCUUAUCAGCUUGUUGGUGGGGUAGUGGCUUACCAAGGCUUUGACGGGUAGCCGGCCUGAGAGGGUUACCGGCCACAUUGGGACUGAGAUACGGCCCAGACUCCUACGGGAGGCAGCAGUGGGGAAUAUUGCACAAUGGGCGGAAGCCUGAUGCAGCAACGCCGCGUGCGGGAUGACGGCCUUCGGGUUGUAAACCGCUUUCGCCUGUGACGAAGCGUGAGUGACGGUAAUGGGUAAAGAAGCACCGGCUAACUACGUG